CUUAGUGAUGGGGACAUGGUACCUUAGGAGUCCAGUGAGCAAAAGAAGGAACCUCUGAUUGUGCUUCUCAUUUGUCCCCCAAACCCAACAGGUUCUGUUUGGAUUCUGCAAAGCAGACUCGUCAGAAAGUUGCUGUGAACUGGACCAACUUCAGCCUCAAGAAAACCACUCCUAGCACAGCUCAGUGAGGCCCUGCCCAGGCUGAGCUUCUUCAGGGCGUCCUGAGGCCCCGACUGCCAGCUGAAGGCCUACAAUUUUUCCCUCCGUGUGCCCCACCCACCCGUCCAAGACCCUCUCUGCUCCCCACCAUCCUGGACCAACCAAAAGCUGAACGGAUGCCACACUGUGCUGGGGCCCCUUGACCUCAGCAGAGCCGCUUCCUGGUGCUACGCAGCCUCCACACUCAGAGCCCGUGGACUGGGCUGGCCUAAGGGCCAGGGCUGAUGGUACUGCUGGCCCAACACUGCUCUCUUUGUGUUUGGUUUUUUUGUUUUUGUUUUUAUUUUUUUCCAAUUCUUUACUUUUGAUACUGUGAAGAUCUUUCGUGCCGAAAGAUAAAGCAACAUUUGGACACA
rnacentral:sRNA from 1 species